GGGAGGUUCGCUACGCAGGAGAGAUGACGCCGACGGUCAUGUUCUUAGUAUUAGGAUUAGAACGACGGCGUCAUCUCUCCUGCAUAGGAAACCUUGC